AAAUGCCUGAGAUAUACGUCAAUUUGAAUAUGUCCAACCUACAUGAUAAAUUCGGGAAUCCGAUGGUAAUGUAGCUGUCGAGCCGUCUUUAGAACGGAAGGCAAAAGCAUAUCUAGGGUGCCCACCUGCGAGAAGCAGGUCUGGACAUUUCAAAAGACGAUAUUUUGGGCGUUCC
rnacentral:other from 1 species